rnacentral:rRNA from 1 species
GAUGAACGCUGGCGGCGUGCUUAACACAUGCAAGUCGAACGGUGAACGAGGGAGCUUGCUCCCUCCGGAUCAGUGGCGAACGGGUGAGUAACACGUGAGCAAUCUGCCCUGGACUCUGGGAUAAGCGUUGGAAACGACGUCUAAUACCGGAUACGACCAGGCGCGACAUCUCGCCUGGUGGAAAGAAUUUCGGUGAGGGAUGGGCCCGCGGCCUAUCAGCUAGUUGGUGGGGUAACGGCCCACCAAGGCGACGACGGGUAGCCGGCCUGAGAGGGCGACCGGCCACACUGGGACUGAGACACGGCCCAGACUCCUACGGGAGGCAGCAGUGGGGAAUAUUGCGCAAUGGGCGAAAGCCUGACGCAGCGACGCAGCGUGAGGGACGAAGGCCUUCGGGUUGUAAACCUCUUUCAGCGGGGACGAAGCGAAAGUGACGGUACCCGCAGAAGAAGCACCGGCUAACUACGUGCCAGCAGCCGCCGUAAGAC